UUGAGACACCUGUUCCCGUACGAUCAAUGAAGUUGAGCAAUGUCGACCCUGAUCAGUAUCUAGAUGGGGGACCUCUUGGGAAUAUUGGGAGCUGUAU